AAUGUCUCGAAUCUGGGAAAUUUGAAUGUAAUGAACUUCAAUACACUGACUACUCUGAUUAUAAAUAUACAUCUUCUUGCCUACAGUUGCUGCCCACACAUCAGCUGCUCUUGAACAGGCCUCUGCCCAGAUCUCUGGCAACAUUCAAAGUCAUUUCGGUACACAAACAUCUGGCCUUACACAGCAAUACUGAAAAUCUGUUUAAACUUAAGUCUGUUAAUUUUAGCAAAGGGUCUUGACAUGACAGUCAUGAUGUUUUUCUGUCCUGUAGAACGGGAUCAUGCACUCUUGCGUGCUGUGGAGGAGUUGAAGGCCUUGGUGAGGCAGAACAACCUCCUCCUCCAGGCCCUUACUAGGCAAAAAACUACAGCAGCAGCAGCAGACACUCUAUCUGAGGAAUUUAAGUUCCCAAUGAACUGCGAGGAAGACCUUCAAAGGGUGGAGGAUCUUCUGAGGGAGAAAUCCCAGGAAAAGGCCCUGGCAGCACACCUUAGUGCGCUUGGGGGCUGCAAUCCUGGUGACGCGGUUCGAAGAAUCCUUCGCCACAUCCUCACCAACCACUUCGCGCUGCAAUUCAACUGGCUUGGCAGAGGAGGGAAGAAGCUGGCUUUUGCCUCCUACAAGGUGUGCAAUGCAGUAAGA